rnacentral:rRNA from 1 species
GACGAACGCUGGCGGCGUGCCUAAUACAUGCAAGUCGAGCGGACUUUCAAGAAGCUUGCUUUUUGAAAGUUAGCGGCGGACGGGUGAGUAACACGUGGGCAACCUGCCUGCAAGACGGGGAUAACUCCGGGAAACCGGGGCUAAUACCGGAUAAUAUCUUCCUUCGCAUGAAGGAAGGUUGAAAGGCGGCGCAAGCUGCCGCUUGCAGAUGGGCCCGCGGCGCAUUAGCUAGUUGGUGAGGUAACGGCUCACCAAGGCGACGAUGCGUAGCCGACCUGAGAGGGUGAUCGGCCACACUGGGACUGAGACACGGCCCAGACGCCUACGGGAGGCAGCAGUAGGGAAUCUUCCGCAAUGGACGAAAGUCUGACGGAGCAACGCCGCGUGAGCGAAGAAGGUCUUCGGAUCGUAAAGCUCUGUUGUCAGGGAAGAACAAGUACCGUUCGAACAGGGCGGUACCUUGACGGUACCUGACCAGAAAGCCACGGCUAACUACGUG